AGCGAACGCUGGCGGCAGGCCUAACACAUGCAAGUCGAACGAACUCUUCGGAGUUAGUGGCGGACGGGUGAGUAACACGUGGGAACGUGCCUUUAGGUUCGGAAUAACUCAGGUAAACUUGUGCUAAUACCGAAUGUGCCCUUCGGGGGAAAGAUUUAUCGCCUUUAGAGCGGCCCGCGUCUGAUUAGCUAGUUGGUGAGGUAAAGGCUCACCAAGGCGACGAUCAGUAGCUGGUCUGAGAGGAUGAUCAGCCACAUUGGGACUGAGACACGGCCCAAACUCCUACGGGAGGCAGCAGUGGGGAAUCUUGCGCAAUGGGCGAAAGCCUGACGCAGCCAUGCCGCGUGAAUGAUGAAGGUCUUAGGAUUGUAAAAUUCUUUCACCGGGGACGAUAAUGACGGUACCCGGAGAAGAAGCCCCGGCUAACUUCGUG
rnacentral:rRNA from 1 species